rnacentral:lncRNA from 1 species
CCGGGGGCUCCUUUGAAGAGGUAUGUUCUGAGACCAGUGCUUAUUGCUGGUCCUUUCUGGGGCAGUGGGACUGAGGAGACCCUUGUCAUUGCUCAAAGAAAUUCUCAGCCUCAUACUGAACUUAUUCUCAGCUUAUGUUUAGUGAAACCGGAAAACAAAAAGAAGUAGACAGAAAAAGCUACCUCCAUAUAUAACUCAGCUAAUACUUCUAAAGAGACAGGCCCAACGGGGAACAAAUGACAGCCGCCUGUGCAAGUGAGUAUUGAGAAGACAGAGGGGACCCAUGGCUUUACUGAGACUCAUCCCUGCAGCCGUUUACAAGUCUCUUUCCAAACGGCUAUCACUUGGUCCUCACUGCGACCUCAGGACAGGUAGCCAGGCAGGUUUCUUUUCAUUUUACAGGAUACUGACUUUGAAAGAUAGAGUCACUCACUCACUCAGGAAGGCACAUCCAGGAGGCAGCAGAACCAAGAGUAAGACUUGGUCUUUUGGCUCUAAAAUCGUGCUCUUUCCAGUGACAUCAGUGUUUCAGUCUGUGGACCCUAGAAGUUUCCAUUUUUAUAAGGGGUUUGUGAAUCCAAAUGUAUAGUAGUUUCCACCUGUAGCCUCAGCUGAUAGAUUUAUAACCACCGUCAUGUGAAGAGGGUCUAGACUCUAUUGACACUGAUAAGAGCUCUUAUGGAAGAGUCUGGCAACCGACACAUUACCCCCUGCUGUAUCAAGUCUCCUGGCAGAGAGGUGACAUUCUUUAUCACUAGCGACACAGGGCACAAAAAUUCCUACAAGUGGACAGAGCUAGGAUUGAGACACAAAUCUUGGCUUUAUGUUUUGUGGUAUGCAAUGGACUCGUGAUUCAGAUAGAGAACACUGCCCAGAGGACGUGGGAGGUGCUCAAAAAUUUUAUCAACUGACCAAGUGACUAAAUUGGAGACGAGGAGACGUCAAAUGCCAAAGGGAAAAGCAGCCUCCGGGUGGCAAGUAAGGUGGGGAAAUCAGCAAGGGAAUCCCCUCACCCAUGAGGGAAAAGGAAUGGAAACAAACAGCAAAAGCAGUUAGCAGAUUGUUAAAAACUGGAAAGCUUUUGGAAUAAUGACAUAACUGUGCAGUCUCAUUAGACGUUCUAAUGGGAACAGAAAAGAAAUACUCGCCGCCAAUUUCCUUUCUGUUCCUGUAAUCUGUAGUACAUUUUUAAAGUAUCUAGUAGGGUGUUAAGUCCUUUUCAAUCACUACGAGUUCAUCCAUUCAUUCAACAAAUGUUCAUGGCGUGGCUAUUAAUAUGCCAGGCACUGAUCUGGUGUUGGGGAUAUAACAGUAAACAAAACAGACAAGAGAUUACCCUCAUGGAGCUCACAUUCUAGACAAUGAAGAAAUGAAAACUUAAACUACAACAGUAUAUCAGGUGGUGACAAGGGCUAUAGAGAUGAUGGCAGGGGAGAGACCUAGAAAUUGGCAAUUUUAAAUACGAUGAUCAGGGACAGCCUCAUUGAGAAAGUGAUGCUUGAACCAAAGCCUGAGGAUACGAGGGAGCAAAUCAAGCAGAUAUCUGAGGGAGGAACAUACCUGGUGUUCAGGAGCAACAAGGAAGCCAUUGCAGGGGAACAGAGUGAGAUAGAGAAGCAGGACGAGACUGGAGUCUGGGUUACACAGGACCGUACAGGCUAUUGAAGGGUUAGGAGCUCUUACCCUGAGUAACAUGGGAAGAGGUGAUGUGAUCUGACCUGCAUUUUAGCAGGUUUCUCUGGCUACUGUGCUGAGAAUAAAAGUAGGGAAUCAAGGGUGGGAUUAAGGACAUCAGUUAGAAGGUUCUGGAAAAAGUCAAGAAGAGAGAUGAUGGUCGUCUGGACCAAGGUGGUAGCAGUGGAGGUGGUGACAAGUGACUGGACUCUGGAUGUUUUAUGAAGGUGGGAAAGGCAAGAUUUACUAAUAAAUUAGAUGCAGAGUGGGAGGGAAAGAUUUAUCAAGGGUGAUGCCAGGGUUUUGAACCUGAACAAUGACAAGAAUACAGUUGCCAUUUAACUAACGCAAGGAAAGCAGUGGAGGGAGCAUGGGUUUGGAGGAGAAAAUCAGAAGUUUGGUUUUGAUUGUGUUGCGUUUGAGAUAUAUUUGUGUGUGUGUGUGUGUGUGUGUGUGUAUCUCAAAGGAGAGGUUCAUAUUUGAAGUAUGAAUUUGGAAGCCAUAUCACAAAAAGAGUACUGAGAACAUUUACCAAGAGAGUAUUGGAGAGGAAAAAGGGUCAGAGAACUGAAGCCUGGAGAUUUGAGCAGGUUGUAAUCAACCAAAGCCUGGGAAUGGGUGGCUAGUGAAGUAGGAGGAAACCAGGGAAGUGUAGACCACCAGGAAUCAAGCGAAGAAACUGUUUCAAGAAGCGUUGCUAUCUCACCUGGGGCAAAGGCUGGGAGACAGUAGGCAAGAUGAGCAUUGAGAAUUAAUUGCCCAUUAAACUUAGUAACAUGGAAGUCAACACUGAACUGGACAAGAACAGUUUCUGUGAGGCAAAUGACAGCUUGACUAUUGAGGGUUAAGAGAAAACAGGAAGAAAUGUAACCGGUGAAUAUAGACAACUCUUUUUAGGAGCUGGAUGCCAAAGAGGGUGGAGAAAGGAGAGCGUGUGACUUGAGGGGGCCGUCAGUCAAGAGAGGCUUCUUUUUGUUUUUUGUUAAUUUUUCUGGUUUUGUUGUAUUUAUUGGGGUGGGGGAGGGUGAGAGAGAGAGAAAAAAAAGAGAGAGAGAAUCCCAAGCAGAGAUUCAGUGCAGAGCCGAAUGUAGGACUCCAACUCAUGAACCCUAAGAUCAUGACUUGAGCUGAAAUCAACAGUUGGAUGCUUAACCUACAGAGCCACCCAGGUGCCCCUCCCCCCCACCAGGAAGCCAGGUCAUGGGCUGAAGGGCAGGAGGGAGGAGCGGUGCUGGAGGUAUUUGAAGAGAUCUUCCUCCCAAGUCUGUCGUGGGGAUUACCUGGCCCAUAGGAGAGGCUUAUAAACUGAAAGGAAUUCCUGUGUCUUUGUGAUUGUUGUUCAGAGCAAUUUUUUUGAACAUUACAUAUAUUGUUUUUAUUAUUAUAGUAAUAUUUCAUGUUUGAUAUAGAAAAUUAUGGAAAAGGCAGAAAAGUAUAAAGAAAAAAGUCAUGAUAAUUAUUCUCCAAAGAAAAUAGCUAUUAACAGUUGGACGUGUAUCCUUCCAGCCCCUUCUAUGAAUAUACAUUAUGGAUAUCCUGUUUUGUAUGUUGCUUUCUUUGCUUCACAUUGUAUUUCACUGUCUUCUCAUGUCCUUUGGUAAUGCCCCCAAGUAUGAUUUUUUUUAAAUUUUUUAAUGUUUAUUCAUUUUUUGAUAGACAGACAUGAGUGGGGGAGGGGCAGACACAGAGGGAGACACAGAAUCUGAAGCAGGCUCCAGGCUCUGAACUGACAGCACAGAGCCCGACGCGGGGCUCGAACUCACGGACCGUGAGGUCAUGACCUGAGCCGAAGUCGGAUGCUUAACUGAUUGAGCCACCCAGGUGCCCCCAAAUAUGAUUUUUAAUGGCUAUGAAUUCCAUAAAUGGCCGUAAUCAUUCCAUCAGGUGGCUGUUCUACCAUUUACCUUGAAAUUUCCCUAUUUUGGACGUUAAAGUUAAUACCAGUGUUUCACAUGUGUAAUUAAUGCUAUAAUGGACAUCCUCGCAGAGAAAUCUUUAUGCUCUGGUGAAUUCUUUACACUAACCUCUUAGAAAUGGAAUUAGUAAGUCAAAUGGUAGGAACAGUUUAAAAACUCUUGAUAGAUAUUGCCAAGCAGACUUCCAGAAAGGUUACACUAAUUUUCAUUUCUUCCAGCAGCAUAGGAGAAUGCCCCGACACGAUCCUUUUAAAAACCUUUGCAGGUCAGUAUUGAUUUAUUGGUUUAAUUUGUACUUUCUUGAUGACUUGUGAAGUCCAACUUCUUUUCAUUUAUUUACUUCAUUUGCAUUUCUUUGGAAGGCCUCUGUACAGGGGAGUUUGGCUUGAGGAAAAGCUUCUCAGUGGAAAUACUGUUGAAGCUGCCGAGAGUUAUCUGGGCUGAUCCCUUUCCAUGAUGCUUCUCUGGACGACAGGGACCCUCAGCUCCAGGAAGCUAGUGUGCAGCCGUGACCCAGCCAGCUAUCAUUGCUCUGUCCCGGUUCUCGGGGAAGGCCCCUCCAGCCCCUUCCUGCCCCUAGAUGGCACCUCCACAAAGAGCGAAUUUUCUCCCAUCCAUGACCUGGCAAACAGGAGCCAUCACAGGAGUGAAGAUACAUCAACGGAGGGCGGCAGGCACUUGUUUCAUCUCCCUGUUGGUGUAGUGCCUGAGACUUGACUUGUUUUAAAAUUAAAUAUUUUAAAACAUUUAAUUUUAAAAUAUUUAAUUUUAAAACAAACCAAAGGAAACUGAAACCGCCGCAUUGUUAGCAUUGGUUUUUAAGAAGUUCUCCUGGGCCGCCUGGGUGGCUGAGUUGGUUGAGUGUCCAACUCUAAAUUUUGGCUCGGGUCCUGAUCCCAGAGUUGUGGGAUCAAGCCCCGUAUCAGACUCUGUGCUGAGCAUGAAGUCUGCUUAAAAGUCUCUCUCCCGGGGCGCCUGGGUGGCUCAGUCAGUUGAGCAUCCGACUCUUGAUUUCGGCUCAGGUCAUGAUCUCAUGGUUUGUGGGUUCAAGCCCCACGUGGGGUUAUUCGCUGUCAAUACAAAGCCUGCUUGGGAUUCUCUGUCUCCCUGUCUGUCUGCCCCUACCUCUGCUCGUGCUGUCCCUCUCUCAAAAUAAAUCAAUAAACAUUAAAGAAAAAAAAAAAGAUUCUCUCUCUUUCUCCUUUUGCCCCUCUUCCCCACUCGUGCUCUGUCUCUAAAAAAAAAUUAGUGAGUGAGUUAUUUGUGAGGCAGUAGCUUUAGUCCAGAGCAAGCCUUGGACUGAGACCUUCUCCCUGCCUGCUCAUUACUAUGGCUCAUGGGACUUGCAAUCUGGAAUAAAUCGAGUCUAAGGCAGAUGGUCAGGCCAAGACAAAAGAACCUUGAAGCAUCUAUCCUUCUAAUUUCCCUCCACUUUCCUCAUUUAAAGAUUAAGAAUUUUUUUUUUUUUAAACAAAGUCUCAGUGGUAUGGAGGAGCUACAACCAUACAGCUCUCCUAAUUAGAAAGAGCAAAUCUAAUCAACUUUGAUGAUCAGCUUUGCGGAUUAUGUGGGAUAAAAUUUUCAUGCCACAGCAGUCCCUUAUUUCUGUCCCCCCCCCGCCUCCUUCAGAGUCAUUGCCUCUUCCACUCAGAGUAUUCUCAGAGACCAGGGGCUAUUUUUAAUACUUGCCAUGGAAAAACAUCAUUCAGAAGCAAAUCUGCUAUAAACUAUCCCAGUUAGGUGGUCCAGAGCCAAAUCUCAAUGACUUCCUGCAUAGUCAGGGUUACCACCCCUGUCCUUUCCAUCAGUUUGGAUGAUUGCAAGUUAUUCCCUUCUGACUAGAGGUGAAUGAACAUUUCCGCUGAAAAUUUCCCAACUUGCAGUAGAGGUAGUAGAUCAUAGUGGUUGAGACCUUGGGCUCCGGGUUCAAGUACAAGACUAUUUGAAUCCCAACUACACUGGACCUAGACCCCGAGCCUCAGUCCACAAGUCUCAAGGAUAAUGCAGGAUUUACUUCUUGGGGUGGGUGGGGAGGAUUGCGUGAGCUGUUGGUUGCACCGUGCCUGACACUUAGCCUGGUGUAUUUCUUUCCCAAGUACAUGCUAUUAUUAUGAACGUGCUCUGAGUUUCUGCAGCUAAAAUAUCUAAUAGAUGGGCACAUCACAACAGAGCUUUACUUGCCCUCAUAAUGCCCUGCAACAGGAGAUAAGGAAGGGAGAGUUUAGCUGCACAUUUUCCAAAAUGGACUGUCAUGUCUUAGCUGCAGUGAGAGACCAGGGGCGUGUAGCCAGUGUUUUAUCCUACCUGUUCCCGGUGUCAGUGGCGUGGGGUCACCAUAGUGAGUGGCCAGGUGUUAACCGUGUCCCUGCCCUUGCCAUAGUUCCCCUAAUGAGAGCCUCCUUGAGUUUGCUCACCCCUUUGGAAAGAGGUCUCCCUUCUCCUUUGUACUAAGUUGGCAAGUCAUUAUUAUAGUAAUAAUACCUGUUAUUACCAGUCAAUCUCUCUUUCGAUACUAAAUUAUUAUUAUGUACUUGGCCAAAAAGGUCUGUGCUAUUGUAAUUUGUAAAGCCCAGACUAAGCAGGACAAUAAAACUUGAAUAACGACAUCUUGCAUUUAUUUCCAUGGUGUUUAUUUUUCUAGUACAUAGUGUGUCAGCAGGCUGCUCCCUGACCUCCCUUGGCCAAGGAAUCCUGGCGUUUGCCUUUUGUACUGUUCAGAACCCCAAGUUUCCGGGCCACACGUCCCUUUGGAAAUCUCCAGGCAGUGCAUCUUCGGGCCGUGGCGAUAGAUGCAUCAGGCAGGGCCGGACCUGGUGGGUGGCUGUUUUUCUGCAAACAUGUGCUCCUGACCUCGAAGAGGCAGCGUCUUUAUUAUGGCCAUUUAUUAUUUACAAAGCACUGCAGGUAUACACAGCAUUUUAUGAGACACAAAGACAAGGUCCUGCCCUGUGCACUGAGAGGUUUUAUCCAGCACUUCAUCUGUCUGAGCUGAGCUGUGGGGACGCAAGGCAAGCAGGGCUGAAGGGCUGAGAGCUGCGUCUGGGAUGUCAGGGUGGAAGGAAGGACUUCUGAUGAGGAAUUUUAAAUGCGGGACGUCAGGUGUGUGAUACUUGAAGCGUCACUCUGGGGUCCAGGAGAGGUUUUGUCAUGACCUGUGUUGCAACACCACGAAGAGAAAUUCUGUCCGUGUGCCUGGGAACAGUUUGUGGGUGGGGGGAAUAACCGAAAGACUCAGAAGAGACAAAGGCCUUGUCGGUCCCAACAAUGUCUUAUACCAGCCUGUACCUCCCCGCCCCAACUUUCCAGCAAGUUGUCUUGUUUUCUCCUGUUUUGGGGAGUGAUCACUGCAGGCAGGAGGAUUAGUCAGCCUUUAACAAAAUGUAUUGUUCUUAAUUCACUGUGUAGCUUUAAGGAGAUUCAGUUUCCUCCUCAAGAAGGGUAGAUUUCUGGGUAUUUGGACCCCUAAUCUUCAGCCAUCUGUCCAUUACUUUUCUUCUGUCUGCAUCUGUCUGUCAGGGCAGCCCCAGUGGCAUCUCCCAGUCUGUGUGGGUUACCAUCACCUGCCUGUGUCGUCCUUCUGUCUGACUAAGCAGAUAGAUACUCAUUGAGUGCUCCCAGGAACGGAUGCUGGGGUGAAGAGCUGAACAAGACCUCGUCCCUGCCCCCCAGAAGCCAUGGACUAUCAGGACCGAGAUGUGAAAAAGCAGUGAGGUUGGGACCAAAGCUGCCUCUCCUUCAGGAGGAGACAGAGGCUUGGCCAUAAGAACACAGUCACUCAUCUGGAGAUGUUCCUGGGCUCCUACCCUCUAAAGCAAGGGCUCACAUUCGAAGAAGGUGCAGAAAUACAGACUUGCUCUGGGCUCGGGACAAACCGAUCACGUCCUUGGCAUGGGAUUCUUCCUGCUCAGAGCUCAGGGCUUAGUCUAAUACCAGGCAAGUUUUGCAGCCAGAAACAGAUAUAAAUUUGGCUGAGUAGCACUAGUGAAAGCAAAACAGAUUCUGUAAUGUACCGACUAUGCACCAGAUGGCUCUGCUUCCUACCAGCCCUGUAAGGCUGGUUAACAAAGCCUACUGCCCUCCAUUAUCGCCAUCAUCAUCAUCAUCAUCACCACCACCGGCUUCACCAAAUCCGAUUAAAAGCCCUGUGGUACAUGGCACUCUACAGAGCCCUCUGAGUCUGGAUGUUUAGUUGAGAAUAUAUAUUUCCUGCCUUUCCCCCCCUCCAACCCCUCCCUCCGCCUCCACAUCCCAGUGUGUCUGUGGUCUGGGUUAUCAUUUCCUCCACAAUCCUCCCUCCCCAUUCCCCGUCACUCACUCUGCCACUGCCUGGAUUCAAGUUAGCAUCCCUCCUUCAUAUUCCCUUCCACUUUCCCAGCCGAUGUCAGAGUAUGGACCUCCUGCAUAAGAAUCGUCUGGGGGAGUGUGUUAACAGCGCAGGUUUCGGGGCACCUGGGUGGCUCAGUCGGUUAAGCGUCCGACUUCAGCUCAGGUCAUGAUCUCAGGGUCCGUGAGUUUGAGCCCCGCGUCGGGCUCUGGGCUGAUGGCUCAGAGCCUGGAGCCUGCUUCCGAUUCUGUGUCUCCCUCUCUCUCUGCCCCUCCCCCGUUCAUGCUCUGUCUCUCUCUGUCUCAAAAAUAAAAAAACAUUAAAAAAAAAUAAAAAAAAAACAGUGCAGGUUUCUGGGAGCCCCUCUGCCCCUUCCAAUUAAUUCAGAGUGUCUGAUGGUGGCCUAUGGGCAUUUGCAUUGUAACAAGCUCCUUAGGUGAUUCUGAGUUUGAGAAUGCUGCCUUACACUUUCUCCUUUCAGCAAAAGCCAGAUACUUAGCCUAUCAGCUUCCUAGUUUAGAGGGGCACAUACCAGAAGCCAGCUGUGGAAGGGACACCAACAGCCAUAUGCCAGAGCCAGCCUGUACCUGAUGUCAAAAACAACAUUUCCAGGAAAUUUGCAAGCUGAUUGUUAAACCAUAGGUUGAAAUCGACCAUGGGGCAAGUAUUUACAUCACAGAAAUCACCAAGCACUUGUGUGUGUGUUUGUGUGUGUGUUUGGAGAAUCAGGUCACCAGCACACCUUGGACACCAAGUGUCAACCCAGCACUGUGAUUUGCACAUAAGGGCACCAAGGAGCAGAGAGGAAAGGGACCCAUCCAAGGUCUUUGCAGUAAAUAAGGUGGAAUCACAGCGAGAAUCGGAGUGUCCUGUCCCCUGUUCUGGUUUGCAUGAGAGCCCUAUUCCUUUUUCGUAAUGACUUUGCAUCUGUGGGGAGAGUGGUUUGUAAGGAUUCUUACAUAGAGUUCCCAUGAGUGUUUAUCACUCUGUGAGUUGGUUGGGGUUCUUCGAUUACAAGCCGCAGAUUCUAGCUGUCCUAAGCAGAAGAGAAAUUCGAUUGAAGAGUCUCAUUGAGUUCACAGAACUGGAAAGCAGGCUCGCAGAAGGACUCAGCAAGGGCAGCUGAGGACUCCACGCAUCAGGGACUGAUGGACCGUCUCCUGAGGGAGAUGUUGCUGGAUUGAAUCAACUCCAAACUCUUCUUUCCAACCUAGCUUUACUUUGUUCAAGAUACAAACUCCUUAAAGAGAGCGAUAUUGCCCUGGGGCCCCAUGCCCCACCCUUAGCUCAGGCUGGACUGGACACCUUGAUUGUUCACUCCCAAGACUGCAUACAAUGGGUGAGAGAUAAUUCCCCCAAAAGAAAUCAGGCACCUUUCCAGUGAGAAGAGGAAACUGAUGUCAAGUAACCAAAAACCCACAUCCCUUCUCUGCACUUCAACCAGACAAACAGCACUAGGAAGCUUGGAUCUAUAUCUCCCUCUUUCCAUUGAUACCCUGUGCGGCGCCUUAUGCCCUGGGUACAUCCUGCCUUUUGGCCGGGUGCUAGGAUUGGGAACCAGACUUGGGCAUUCUAAUGCUUAAAUGUGCGAGUUUCCCGUCAUCCUCUGCUCACCCCCUGUGCCCUCUCUUAUUGUACUGACUACCAUCUAAAUGCUAAUGAUUCCCGACUCUGUGUCUCUAGACCCAUAGUUUGGGUUUCCAUUGGACAUAUCCACUGUAGACGUAUUUCCCAGCUCCAACUUCCCCUUCAUUCCUGCUGCCACUGCCUGGAUUCAGGUUAGCAUCGUGCUCAUGUAUCAUUUGCACCACCUCUGAUCUCUUUCUCUAUCGUGUUCUUUCCUAUCCAAUCUACGCUGCAUGUUGUACUGUUUACUUCUUAAAAGCAAGAGGAUCUUACCACCCCCAUCCUUACAUGACAGGCAAUGACUUUUUUAUGCAAAGUCCCCACAUCCUACCUUGCAUACAAAGCCUUUUGUGACCUGCUCUUCACCUGUCCCUCUCAGCCCCUCUCCUGCUCACUGCUGACACACAGCCUUCACCUUCACCACGUGGACCCUUUCAGCAGACAUGCCAGGGCUUUCCACUCCUGGGACUUUGCACCUGCCUGCUUCUCUGUGCAGUGCGCCUCCUCAGGAUCUUUCCCCAGAAAGUUCUUACUCGUCCUUUAUGACUCAGAGGACAAGAUGGAAAAUGUGGGCAGAAUGAUUGCGGUAGAUGGAUGGGAGAGGCAGGGAUUCCCUGGUGAUUCUCAGUGAAUCUUGGUGAAGAUCAGCCUUUGCUGACCAGCCUUAUUAAGUUUUAUUUCUCUGUCCGCUGUAUCUCUACAACUCUUUGUUCAUAUAGUUCAUAAAGCACUUACUCCUUUAGUGUAUGAAUUCAAAUGCAUGUUUUUCACCUCGUCAUGAACAUUUAUGAGUUUUGAGGCCACCCAGGACCUUUCACAUCCUUCCUGCGUCCGGAAAGUUCUCUGUUUUACAAACCCCCACAUCCUAUCGCGGGAGGGAUGGCCUCACUGUCCCCGGCUCCCUUGCAGCUAGGGCACAGCACGUGACCCGGACCACCAACCACACAUGAGCAUUCAGAAGCUAGUGCUGCAAAGCCAUGAGCACUGGGGGAAUCCAUUCUGGCAAAGGUGGCUUGUAUCUUCCGGAGUCUCAGAGGGAGUGGCAGCCAAAGAUCCUGAUGGGAGCCUCUGAGGUCGUCAGUUAAAGCUGCAUGUCUGUGUAGACAGGAGAACCAGUUCUGCAAAGCGUUUUGGGGUGUGAUUUCUAGCUGUGUAGCUUCCCAGAAAUUUUGUGAUUUCACGAAUAUUCUUUAAUAAGUCUAUUUUCUGCUUAAAGUAGCCAGACUUGGCUUCUGAUUUUUGCAACUAGGAAAUUUGACCUUUUAGUCUGAAAAACCUUCAAGAGCAGGGUCCACUGUUUAUUUCUUCAUUCCUCCCCCGCAGCACCCAGCACCGAGUAGCUUUCAUGUACGUGUUUCUUGAACAAACACUUGCUUUCCCUGGGAGGAGGUUGCUUUUCCACAGUGCAUGACUUUAAUAGCUACAGGCUGGAGUUUCAGAGCUGAGAGCUUAUGUUACUGGCCUCAAAUACCUGGGUUCUGUAACCUUUUUCAAGGAGCUCAGAACUUCUCAAAGUGGAAUGUUAAGAUGACACUGACUUUCUUUUUCUUUUAUCUUUUUUUAAAUGUUUAUUUAUUUUUGAGAGACAGAGGGUGAGCAGGGGAGGGACAGAGAGAGAGGGAGACACAGAAUCCAAAGCAGGCUCCAGGCUCUGAGCUGUCCGCACAGAGCCCGACCUGGGGCUCGAGCCCAUGAACCGUGAGAUCAUGACUUGAGCUGAAGUCAGACGCUUAACCGACUGAGCCACCCAGGCGCCCCAAGAUGACUUUGAUUUUCAUGUUGAAUUUCCUUUUCUCUUGACUCUCCCACAAAGCUCCUUGUCUUGGAAUUUAAUGUGAUUUCAUUCUUUCAACUCCAGUGUGUUCCUGCAUUCUCUUUAUUUCUUCCCCACACAGAUCAAAGGAAGAAUGGAAUGAAUUUCCCUGCCCCAAACGCGGAACCAUUUUUCAGGGAUAAUGUGUGUCAUCUUCUUACAAGGCCCUGGAAAUAAGUUUAUGUGUGUGAUAGGGUUCCUAGGCCAGCAGGAGAGCAGAACGCUGGAGGCCUUCACUUUCAUAAGGCAUUGGGUAGCGUCUCAUUUUAUUUCCUUGGGGACAAGAUACAAAAUGUGGACUGAAUGACAAUGCAUUUGGUGCAUGGUGGAGGCGGAGCUUGCUAGCUGUCCACCAAAUUCCUAUCUUCGCCAUGGGAACAGGAGCAGAGUGGGUCAUGGGUGCCCAGCUGCCCUGCAUUUCCCACCUUCCUUACUGUAUGGUGUACCGUGCAUCUACAUUUUCUCCACUGGCAUGUGAGCAGACGUGACGCCUGCCCCUUCCAGGCCCG